rnacentral:rRNA from 1 species
AUUGAACGCUAGCGGUAUGCUUUACACAUGCAAGUCGAACGGCAGCGCGGACUUCGGUCUGGCGGCGAGUGGCGAACGGGUGAGUAAUGUAUCGGAACGUGCCCAGUAGCGGGGGAUAACUACGCGAAAGCGUAGCUAAUACCGCAUACGCCCUACGGGGGAAAGCAGGGGAUCGUAAGACCUUGCACUAUUGGAGCGGCCGAUAUCGGAUUAGCUAGUUGGUGAGGUAACGGCUCACCAAGGCGACGAUUCGUAGCUGGUUUGAGAGGACGACCAGCCACACUGGGACUGAGACACGGCCCAGACUCCUACGGGAGGCAGCAGUGGGGAAUUUUGGACAAUGGGGGCAACCCUGAUCCAGCCAUCCCGCGUGUGCGAUGAAGGCCUUCGGGUUGUAAAGCACUUUUGGCAGGAAAGAAACGUCGCGGGCUAAUACCCCGUGGAACUGACGGUACCUGCAGAAUAAGCACCGGCUAACUACGUG